rnacentral:rRNA from 1 species
UACGUAGGGUGCGAGCGUUGUCCGGAAUUAUUGGGCGUAAAGAGCUUGUAGGCGGUCUGUCGCGUCUGCUGUGAAAAUCCGGGGCUCAACCCCGGACUUGCAGUGGGUACGGGGCAGACUAGAGUGUGGUAGGGGAGACUGGAAUUCCUGGUGUAGCGGUGAAAUGCGCAGAUAUCAGGAGGAACACCGGUGGCGAAGGCGGCUCACUGGACCGGAACUGACGCUGAGGCGCGAAAGCGUGGGGGAGCAAACAGG